rnacentral:lncRNA from 1 species
CUUGUGGUGUAUGAAUGAAAGAUUAGAUGUUAAUGUCAAUGAGACAGCAACCAUUCAAUGAAAGAGGUCAACAUUGUAUUCAACCAAUGAAAACUUUGUACUUAUUAAUGAGCAACACAAGUGCCACAUGUGGAGCACCUGAGAUAACCCCUAACUUUUGAUGGGUUAAUGGGCAACACAAGUGCCACAUGUGGAGCACCUGAGAUAACCCCCAACUUUUGAUGGGUUUCCUGUUGCUCAGUCUUUAAU